UAGAGUUUGAUCCUGGCUCAGGUCGAACGCUGGCGGCGUGCCUAAUACAUGCAAGUCGAACGAACUCUGGUAUUGACUGGUGCUUGCAUCAUGAUUUACAUUUGUGUGAGUGGCGAACUGGUGAGUAACACGUGGGAAACCUGCCCAGAAGCGGGGGAUAACACCUGGAAACAGAUGCUAAUACCGCAUAACAACUUGGACCGCAUGGUCCGAGCUUGAAAGAUGGCUUCGGCUAUCACUUUUGGAUGGUCCCGCGGCGUAUUAGCUAGAUGGUGGGGUAACGGCUCACCAUGGCAAUGAUACGUAGCCGACCUGAGAGGGUAAUCGGCCACAUUGGGACUGAGACACGGCCCAAACUCCUACGGGAGGCAGCAGUAGGGAAUCUUCCACAAUGGACGAAAGUCUGAUGGAGCAACGCCGCGUGAGUGAAGAAGGGUUUCGGCUCGUAAAACUCUGUUGUUAAAGAAGAACAUAUCUGAGAGUAACUGUUCAGGUAUUGACGGUAUUUAACCAGAAAGCCACGGCUAACUACGUGCCAGCAGCCGCGGUAAUACGUAGGUGGCAAGCGUUGUCCGGAUUUAUUGGGCGUAAAGCGAGCGCAGGCGGUUUUUUAAGUCUGAUGUGAAAGCCUUCGGCUCAACCGAAGAAGUGCAUCGGAAACUGGGAAACUUGAGUGCAGAAGAGGACAGUGGAACUCCAUGUGUAGCGGUGAAAUGCGUAGAUAUAUGGAAGAACACCAGUGGCGAAGGCGGCUGUCUGGUCUGUAACUGACGCUGAGGCUCGAAAGUAUGGGUAGCAAA
rnacentral:rRNA from 1 species